CUUAAGUGGGGAAUAACGCAUCGGAAGGUGUGCUAAUACCGCAUAAUCUCUGAGGAGAAAAGCAGGGGAUCGCAAGACCUUGCGCUUUUGGAGCGGCCGAUGUCUGAUUAGCUUGUUGGUGAGGUAAAAGCUUACCAAGGCUUCGAUCAGUAGCUGGUCUGAGAGGACGACCAGCCACACUGGGACUGAGACACGGCCCAGACUCCUACGGGAGGCAGCAGUGGGGAAUUUUGGACAAUGGGGGCAACCCUGAUCCAGCCAUGCCGCGUGAGUGAAGAAGGCCUUCGGGUUGUAAAGCUCUUUCAGCCGGAACGAAACGGUUACGGUUAAUACCCGUGACUACUGACGGUACCGGAAGAAGAAGCACCGGCUAACUACGUGCCAGCAGCCGCGGUAAUACGUAGGGUGCGAGCGUUAAUCGGAAUUACUGGGCGUAAAGCGUGCGCAGGCGGUUUUGUAAGUCAGAUGUGAAAUCCCCGGGCUUAACCUGGGAACUGCGUUUGAAACUACAAAGCUAG
rnacentral:rRNA from 1 species